AGCGAACGCUGGCGGCAGGCUUAACACAUGCAAGUCGAACGGGCACCUUCGGGUGUCAGUGGCAGACGGGUGAGUAACACGUGGGAACGUGCCCUUCGGUUCGGAAUAACUCAGGGAAACUUGAGCUAAUACCGGAUACGCCCUUUGGGGGAAAGGUUGACUGCCGAAGGAUCGGCCCGCGUCUGAUUAGCUAGUUGGUGGGGUAAUGGCCCACCAAGGCGACGAUCAGUAGCUGGUCUGAGAGGAUGAUCAGCCACACUGGGACUGAGACACGGCCCAGACUCCUACGGGAGGCAGCAGUGGGGAAUAUUGGACAAUGGGCGCAAGCCUGAUCCAGCCAUGCCGCGUGAGUGAUGAGGGCCUUAGGGUUGUAAAGCUCUUUCGUCCGGGACGAUAAUGACGGUACCGGAAGAAGAAGCCCCGGCUAACUUCGUGCCAGCAGCCGCCGUAACAC
rnacentral:rRNA from 1 species